rnacentral:rRNA from 1 species
GUUGAACGCUGGCGGCAUGCCUUACACAUACAAGUCGAACGGCAGCACGGGAGCAAUCCUGGUGGCGAGUGGCGAGCGGGUGAGUAAUAUAUCGGAACGUGCCCAGUCGUGGGGGAUAACGUAGCGAAAGCUACGCUAAUACCGCAUACGAUCUAUGGAUGAAAGCGGGGGAUCGCAAGACCUCGCGCGAUUGGAGCGGCCGAUAUCAGAUUAGGUAGUUGGUGAGGUAAAGGCUCACCAAGCCGACGAUCUGUAGCUGGUCUGAGAGGACGACCCGCCAAACUGGGACUGAGACACGGCCCAGACUACUACGGGAGGCAGCAGUGGGUCAUUUUGGACAAUGGGCGCAAGCCUGAUCCAGCAAUGCCGCGUGCAGGAUGAAGGCCUUCGGGUUGUAAACUGCUUUUGUACGGAGCGAAAAGGCUUCCACUAAUACUGGGGGCUCAUGACGGUACCGUAAGAAUAAGCACCGGCUAACUACGUGCCAGCCGCCGCGGUAACAC